CCCUCCAGUGCAAACCAGUCCGGCUGCUUUAGAAACAAGUUGUUUUCUGCUUCCAGAACCACCCAGGAGCCUGCGUGAUGUCUCUUCCCCCACCUGACCCCCUCUUCUCUCUGCCGGCCUCCUUGCUCCAGAAAGGAGCUAAGACUGAUGGAGACCGGGGAGGAGAGGAAGAGAACUUUCCAGAAGGAAUACAGUCCCAGGAUGUCCAGAGGUGCCAGUGGGUGCAAAGAUUUUCUUGUCUGUCCACCACCCAGAAAGAAGGCGCGGGGGGUGGAGGAGUGGGGAGAGAGGGUAGUUCUUGGAGGGAGGUAACAGGCUCCUGGUAGGGGGUCUACAAUUCCAGGAGUUUGUCUGGGUAAAAUGUAAUGGGGGGGAGGGUGUUGUCUCUUCAAGCCCACUCACCAGUCCCCUAGUUUAAAAGGGCAGGGGGGAAGGGCAGGACGAAAAUCCAGAACUUAACAACGGUGGCUGGUAGGUAUUUUCUCGCUAAGAAAAGGAAAAGAAAGCAAAAGAGGGCAGUGGCUGCGAGAGGAGGGCAGGGGUCCGCCCGCGCCGCCAGGUGCACCGGGGCCCGCACCUACCUGCUGGCCGCCGCCGCCGCUGGGGUAGGACUCGGCGUGCGCAGGAGAGCCGCUGCUGCCCCGGGACGAGGUGUCAAAGUUCCCGGGAUAAUCCUGGUACAUGAUCCGCGGUGGGGGCCGGAGAGGAAACAGGGUGUUUUUCUUCCCCCGCCCUCGCCGCGGCCGCGCACCAACUGCUGCGCGCUCUGUCGUCCGCCUGCCGCGCCGCGGGCUCUGAGCUUCGCUCCUGGGUUUCUCCCCCUCCGCGGCGGACGAGGACAGGGAGGCGGCGACACCCCGAGAACUGCGUCCCCCGAGCGCCUCUUACGGCACUUCUUUCCGGCUCUGCGAGCGCCGCGGGAACAGUUGUCCACCCGGUCCCUCCCUCUAAAAAGUCGGCGCGUCUCUCGGUCCCUCCCCUGCGCGCGCCCUCACGCCCCCGCGAGCAGCCGGAGCUCAGCCGGGACCCACGGCCCAAUCAAAAAUUGGAAAUUAAAAAAGACUGGGAGCCCGGCGAGCCUGGCCUGCCAGCCCCAGGGACCCCCCCUCCGCCCCGAUUUCAGACAGGGUCAAAAAGGCGGAAAGAAACGCUGUCCGCUGGGAGAAACUUGUUUCUUCCUUUUAGAAAAGGAGCCGGCGAAUAAACUUCCCGUGGCCAACUCGCCGCCGGAGUUUCGGGGCUGCUCGGACACUUGACUAGGAGAAAGCCGCGCGCGCCUGUCCCGCGGCCCCGAGUGCGCCAGGGGAACAGCGGCCCGUGGGGUUGAAGCUGAGUUGGCGCUGAGAGGGACGCGGCCCCACUCCCCGCUCCGGCGCCCGGACCUGCACCCCUUCCCUGGCGCCCGCUCCCGGACCGGCCCGCCUCGCCGGGCCGCGCCUCUCUCUCCCUCUUUCGGUCCCCGCCGAGCGCCGCUCGUUCGCUCGCUCGCUGGUUAGCUCCGAGCCCUAGAGCUCUGCCCGAGAUGAGUCACUACAAUGGCACGAGUUCAACUCCACACUCUUUAUUCUCCAGCCCUGUACCAUGUGGAUUCACUCACGUCAACCCCAGACUCCACCUUGAGGGAGGAGCGCACGAGGAGGCGGGGGGAGGAGGCCGAGAGGAGGAAGAGGCGCGGGAGGGGAGGAGGCCAGCGCAGCGCUCCCCUCCAGGCUCCGGCUCCCGGCCGCGCUGACGCCAGCCGCGCGCUACGCGCGAGGAAGCCAGGCGGUGGCCCGGGCUGGAGCUGGCGGCCCGCACGGUUCGGGGGCGCAGAGGCAGCCCCGACCCUCCAGCGCCCCCUGCCUACCCUCCGGGCCCAGCGCCCUUGGUCUGUUCCAUUGGCGCACGUUGCCAAAGAUGGUCAUUUGCGUUAGAGGACGCGAGUGCGGGUUUCCUCGCUUUCGGGUGACGUGGAGGGAGAGGGAUUCCCUCGCCCGCUCCCGAGUUCGCUGCGGCCUCUCCCCCACCCUCGGAAGGGGCGCGGGGCGGGGCCCCGAGAGCGGCCGCGCGGGUCUCGACUCUAGGUUUUAGAAAAUAAUCAGCCCUGACGGCGAGAUGGGCGGCUCGGUGCGGCACCACCGGGAAGCCGGGAGCCUGGCGCGCAGAGCCGCUUGCAGGGAGGUGGCGGCCGCGCGCGGUCGUAGGCGCCCUCCGCGGCGCCGCCGAGCGCAGCGGGCGCCCCGGGCGCGCAGGGUGCCCGCGCCGCCCUGCGGCCCGGUCAUUGCUGGGCGCGGCGCCGCCGGGCGGGGCUGGCCUGCCUAUUUUUCCCUCCGUGGCGGGCUGCGUGCUGCUUCCCUUUUUGUUUUUUGUUUUUCAUUUUUUCGUCGUACAGUUAAUUCGUUAGGAAUAGCCUUGAAGAUAAAAUUAACCAGUCAAGACAUUCCGGCCGCCCUCUACGCGGGCAACUAGGACGCAUCUAAUAAGAGUAAUUGGGCGUUUACAAGCAAACUCGACUGUUAGGAAUU